rnacentral:sRNA from 1 species
GUAUAAGGAACACAGUCUAAGAACGCCACAUCCUGUAGCAACGACUGCGUGACCCGCAUCGUGCGGG